rnacentral:rRNA from 1 species
UACAGAGGUCUCAAGCGUUGUUCGGAUUCAUUGGGCCUAAAGGGUGCGUAGGCGGCGCGGUAAGUCGGGUGUGAAAUCUCGGGGCUUAACUCCGAAACUGCAUUCGAUACUGCCGUGCUUGAGGACUGGAGAGGAGACUGGAAUUUACGGUGUAGCGGUGAAAUGCGUAGAUAUCGUAAGGAAGACCAGUGGCGAAGGCGGGUCUCUGGACAGUUCCUGACGCUGAGGCACGAAGGUCAGGGGAGCAAACGGG